GUCUGCGACUCACCGUACGACUCAUACGACUCCCCGCUGGGCCCGUAUUCAUAGUAGUCAUCUGAGCUGCAAGGAGACAGAACAUUUGGCGGUCACCGGUGAGAUGCUGACAGAACAAUCCGCCGUCGCUAUCACUCCGUUACAGCGCUAUCAUUCAGGAGAGGCAAUUCAUCAUAAGGCUGCCACGGAGCCGUCACAGCUGGGCCCUUCCUGUCAGCCUGUCAGCCACUCUCUGCUCCGCAGAUUAGAGCGCUGAAACCCAACCCCACCUGACAAACGCCGCGCAACCCCACCUGAGCGCCCGGGGCAGAGGGGUGACAGCCAUGACACCGCUGGGACAAAUACCAAAAUUCUUCUCAGGUUAGAGCAGCACUGAUGCAGUCCGGGGCGACGCCUUCAGAGCACCAACAAGAAGAAUGCAGCCUAGGCUGUUAGGCGCCUCUGAUCUCUGCCUGACAUUUCGUCAAUAAAACUACACAACUUCUCCCCACAGGUAUUUUCUCCCUUCAAUUAGACGGACCGGGGGUGCAACCUGAAGGUCACGCAUUCCAGGGAAAAGCAGAGCGAGCAGCAGGAUGAGGCGUUAAGUCGGCUCCGAUAUUUGUUGUACAAAAAAGUUCUUUCC